CCUACGGGGCGCUGCAGUGGGGAAUAUUGGACAAUGGGCGAAAGCCUGAUCCAGCCAUGCCGCGUGUGUGAAGAAGGCCUUCGGGUUGUAAAGCACUUUCAGUGGGGAAGAAAGCCUUGGGGCUAAUACCCUCGAGGAAGGACAUCACCCACAGAAGAAGCACCGGCUAACUCCGUGCCAGCAGCCGCGGUAAUACGGAGGGUGCGAGCGUUAAUCGGAAUUACUGGGCGUAAAGCGCGCGUAGGCGGUCUGAUAAGCCGGUUGUGAAAGCCCCGGGCUCCACCUGGGAACGGCAUCCGGAACUGUCAGGCUAGAGUGCAGGAGAGGAAGGUAGAAUUCCCGGUGUAGCGGUGAAAUGCGUAGAGAUCGGGAGGAAUACCAGUGGCGAAGGCGGCCUUCUGGACUGACACUGACGCUGAGGUGCGAAAGCGUGGGUAGCAAACAGGAUUAGAUACCCCAGUAGC
rnacentral:rRNA from 1 species